CCUACGGGGGGCAGCAGUGGGGAAUAUUGCACAAUGGGCGCAAGCCUGAUGCAGCCAUGCCGCGUGUAUGAAGAAGGCCUUCGGGUUGUAAAGUACUUUCAGUAGGGAGGAAGGUGGUUAAGUUAAUACCUUAAUCAUUUGACGUUACCUACAGAAGAAGCACCGGCUAACUCCGUGCCAGCAGCCGCGGUAAUACGGAGGGUGCAAGCGUUAAUCGGAAUUACUGGGCGUAAAGCGCAUGCAGGUGGUUUGUUAAGUCAGAUGUGAAAGCCCUGGGCUC
rnacentral:rRNA from 1 species